rnacentral:lncRNA from 10 species
UGCCAAUGAGGUUCCCCUUUUUAGGGAUGGCGGACAAGAGACCACUGCAGUGGUGAAGGAAGUAAUAUUUUAAAAAAUGUAUACAUUAUGAAGAUUUAUAUAAGAGGGGCUAUUAUCAAUGACAGAAUUGCUGUGCUUCAGUCUCCUGUUUGAAAGAAUAAGUAUAAAUGUUUAAAAGCCCAGUUUCUGGAGUCAGAUUAAGUAGGCUCAAAUUCUAGCUUUGCUACUUGUUCUUUGUGUGAAUGUAAACAAGUGGCUUGACGUUUUGAAUCCUCAGUCUCCCUACUGCAGAAAUCAAUAAAAUCAUAGUGCCUACCUCAUGGGCUGCUGGAACGGUUAGAGGAGGUCUGCAUGUAAAUCUCUUCACAGAGGUCCUAGUGCAUAGGAAGCACUCAAUAAGUAUUAUAUGUUAAUAUUUGCCCAGCCUCCUCCCGUGACUGUUGUAGGUAUAACUGCAGGAUUUUCCAAGCGCAAUGGUGAAUACUCUCCUGCCCAAGCCUCUGAUACUCCAGUGAGGCUUUCUCCGCGUGAGUGGGUCUGUUAAUGUUAAUGGGGGUGCAGGGGGCAUUGCGGGGAGGAGGCUGACUAGGAAAUUCCUAUUAUGGCAACAAGUUCCUGUGGAAGUGGUGCAGUGCUUAAUGUCAUUGUUCUAACAUCACCCAUAUUUGAUAUCGUUGUUUCAGAUUUUGGCUCAGAGUCCGCAAUUUACUGUUCUGUGGAGCUGUUGGACUCUUGGACCGACCUGAACAUUUCUAGAGUGAGAUAGGAAUUCUACACCUUGCCUUGGAUGAUAACUUUAUUGGAGAUUUACUUGGCUACAAUUGUUACAAAAAAAAAAAAAAAACCAACUCAAGGUAAUUGUGAUCCAUAAGGUGCAGACUGCAAAUUUCUGCAGCAUGAUUACUGUCUGAAUGAAUGACAUCAUGUUCCUUAAAAAAAUGGCUGCAGCACGUGAUGGGGUUUCAGCUGUUGGGAACCUGAGGUUGACUACCUUUGAGGCUUCGGAGGGCUCUUCUUGCUGCUGCAGAUCUGGCAAUCCUGUUACUUCGAACAACACCUUUAAAUUUCCCCUGUCCCACUACUUCUACGGUGACUCUGACCUUCCCGUGGUAAGUUCUCACAGCUGGGUUAAAUCUGGCGGUUUCUGGUUCCAUUUCAAGCAACUCUCGCACAGGGGAACGGGGUACAUUUGCAGAAAACUUUUCUAUUAGCGGCAUUCCUCAACCCACACACAAUUUAGACAGUUGUAAUUCACAACCCACACACAGUUCAGGCAGCAGAAGGUAGGGCCUCACAGGCUUGAUGUGUCUGAACGUAGACUCUGCCCAAAUAACUGGCUGAUUGCUGAGCUAUACAGUUGCUGGGAAGAUCUUUGCUGAACCCAAAUGCCCCCACACACCACCCCGCA